CCCACCUCCAAGAGUCUUCUCCCAGACUCCAGCCUUGAGGAUGAGGACUCCAGAUGGGGCCCAUGAGUGAGGAGGACAAGAGAGAAAGGAGAAGUUUGGGUGUAAAUCCCAGAGAUUGUUCAUCAUGUGAGAGGAGCCGUGCAUGCAUUUCAUGCCAUACUCACACCAUGGAUGGAGAAAAAAAAUCAAGCUUCACUUUCUGAGAAUGGCCCUGGGGGCACUGCAUCUAGUGCCUGUGCAUCUGCAGACCUGCCGGAUGCCUCCAGGGGAAUCAUGCCACCCCAAGCAAGAAAGGGCCCAGUUGCCAGGAGCCUGGAGGCAGAGAGCUGAGGAGCCAGCCCCUGACAUCAGAAUGGAGCUCAAAGGUUGGCUGGGUGUGACUCUGCCGUGGACAGCUUCUCUUGGGAAAUCUACUUUAAUGAAUCCAGGGGACCAAUUUGUAAUCAGCCCAUCAGAUGUUCAGCGACACU
rnacentral:lncRNA from 10 species